AGAGUUUGAUCCUGGCUCAGGAUGAACGCUAGCGGCAGGCUUAACACAUGCAAGUCGAGGGGCAGCGGGGAGUAGCAAUACUCCGCCGGCGACCGGCGCACGGGUGCGUAACGCGUAUGCAACCUACCUUUAACAGGGGCAUAACACUGAGAAAUUGGUACUAAUUCCCCAUAACAUUCGAGAAGGCAUCUUCUUGGGUUAAAAACUCCGGUGGUUAAAGAUGGGCAUGCGUUGUAUUAGCUAGUUGGUGAGGUAACGGCUCACCAAGGCGACGAUACAUAGGGGGACUGAGAGGUUAACCCCCCACAUUGGUACUGAGACACGGACCAAACUCCUACGGGAGGCAGCAGUGAGGAAUAUUGGUCAAUGGACGCAAGUCUGAACCAGCCAUGCCGCGUGCAGGAAGACGGCUCUAUGAGUUGUAAACUGCUUUUGUACUAGGGUAAACGCUCUUACGUGUAGGAGCCUGAAAGUAUAGUACGAAUAAGGAUCGGCUAACUCCGUGCCAGCAGCCGCGGU
rnacentral:rRNA from 1 species